GUGAAACGGCGCCGCGCCCAUGAUACUGGAGCUCCUGCCUCCGGGAAAGUCGGUCAGCGUCAGAC
rnacentral:rRNA from 1 species